rnacentral:rRNA from 1 species
AUGGGAUGUGGGGAGCUCCUAAGGGGCGCCUUCAGCGUCGGUUCCCGUUCUGGCGCCCACACGCCCGCGAACUGGGCCGGCCCAGCUUGCCUCGUUCGCUUGUUCAACUUCUGCUCGUUCGCUCCCCUCUCUCCCUCGUUCAUUCUCCCAUCGCCUACUUCGCUCCCCUGGAUCGGUCAACCUGAUGUAGCGCCCAAUAGAAGUAAGGCCGGAUCGGGUUGUCGGGUCUUCCUGGCUCCGCUACUACUACCAUGGAUUAGCAGAGUCAUGCCCGUCCCCGAGUUUUGUCCCAAGGAUGGUCUUGCUAGGCGCUGUCUUGCGCGGGCGGUGAUCAUGUCUCUAGCUUCACGAGCAAUAGGUGGACAGGGUCAAAGAGGUAGUGGGGAAGAGAGCCGACAUGGAUGGAAGGAUGGUGGCCAGUGCUGCGCUGGCAAUCUAGAGCCGGAAGGGAACGCAGAUCGUGUUGCCGCAUGCAAUGCCACCAGAACACGGACGAACCGAAGAUGCUGGAAGGGGCGCAGCAGCCGGUGUGCCGGGGCCAAUGCCAUCCCAUUAGACCAAACCAGAAGACCAAGCAAACUAGAGAACGCACGUCCAUGGACGCCGGGACAGGAGCAGUGUCGACAAAGAACCACUGUGAAACUUCAGAAGCCUACUAGAGGACCGUCGUUACCACACACACGCAGAGGCCAUCACCAUAGCUCGGAGGAGGGUGGCCCGCACCAAGGUAGGAACGAGAUCCGACCACCUCCCACGUGGCACAUGCCUGCCCCAACGGACAACAUGAAGAAGAGGAGUUGUGCCAUCGAGGAGAAAGAGCCGGACGGGGGGAGGACCACCACAGGCACGGCCACGCUGCACGCCGAACCGGCAGGAAGCGUUUCAGCAGCUGGACGGGAGUGGCCACGGCACGCCAGAUGUGAUCUAGGGCCUGGGGGGAGGGAGUGUCCUCCAGCGCUAGGGGUGGCGGCAGUGCAGGGAGGCUGUGGCGGAGUAGACGGUCCGGUGUGCCACCAUCCCCGGGCACGGCACGGCUUCGCCGGUUGGCUAUCUCGCAGCGAUGACGCAGGCGUGGCGGAGGCAAAGGAAGCUCACUACGGUGGCAAGGGUGUCCCCCGUUGUUGCCAGACGCUGGCGAAGCUGGGGUGGGGCCACUCGCUUGGGGGUUUGGGAGCGUCUGCUGUUCUUAGAGCUGUAGCCCAACGCCUAAAAUCCACAAGAACUGAUUCUAACAUGAGAAAGCAUUUUGGUAAAAUUAUCCACGUCGACUGCUCUCUGUGGAAAAAUAGAAGGACGAUGCAGAGGGCAAUUGCAGAGGACUUAAACCUUCACCACCUAAUGCACGUGUUUGAUGAGCAGGAUGAAGAAGAUGAUUUCAGAGGAGUGGAUGACAGCUCUAGAGCAAUUUCAGUUCCCACGGAAAAAACUGAAGAACAACUACGUGGAAACUCCAUCAGUGUUGACUAUGGUUGGGCUACUCAUGCUUGCAACUACUGGAUAUGUGAUGGAAUUCUUGAAGGGGACAGAGCUUGGGAGGUUGGCAAUGCCUUGUAUGGAGUGAUACCACCAUUGGGCUAUUUUCCAGAGGAAACAAAAUAUUUGGCAAGUUUGUUGGACCGAAACAUAAAACCCUACAAGGGCUGGAAUUCAAUCACCUCGAACAAACAAGCAGCACAUAAUAUCUCUACUGUUCCUGUUAAUGCAUCAUCCUAUUUGCUAAUAUUUGAGGAUACUGGUCAGCCAGAAGAACUAGAACAUGAUAUGUUUCAACUAGCCAGCAACCUCCGUGUUCUAAAACUCUGCAAGUGCAGCUUUGAUUUUUCAUCCCCGCCUUUCCGCUGCUGCCCGAAGCUAAGAUUCCUAUGGCUUGACAAUUGCACAAAGACAGGAAAGGAGGAGGGAGAAGGGGCAUGUUUCCCUGAUUUGCUGGUGCUUGACAUAACUAAAUACAAAGGGAGUCUCAUGGAGGACUCUAAGUCACUUCUGGAAAAAGCUACAGAAUCUUCAGAUGUGAUCACACUGGACAAUUGCUCUACCGUAGACAUGAUGAAUCUGGAGCUCCUUGACUUUUCUGGCAACACUCACAUGGAACCAUUGCCUGAAACGUCAUCAGCAAGAAGCCUGAAGGUGCUUGUUCUUGAUGGUUGUUCCAGCUUGAAGCAUGUUGCGUUCGAAAGAGCUCCUCCAGUAAUUGAGAGCUUUAGCUUCGAUGGUUAUGGCCCGGCAGAUAAUUGGACUCAUCCCAUACAACUGCCAAGAAAAGAAUUCCGCCCAAAGUCCCGCGUCGAUCGAAUUGAAGAAGCUAAGGUGACAAAGAUCUCCCUAGAGGGUUGUGCUCGACUGCAUGGCAUAUUCUUGCGUGCAUUGUUCAAUCUCAAGGAGUUGGACCUGUCAGGUACGGACAUGAAAACAAUUGAUCUUGGUGCAAUGGAUGUCCCACAACUCAAGAAGCUAUUCCUGCUGGGUUGUGAGCAACUCCGUACUCUAUUAUGGGAUGGACGAAACCCAAGAACAGAACUAUACCAUCUCCACAACCUAGAGCAGAUAUGUGAGGCUAGAUUGGCCGUGCCCGCGUUGGAAACCAUCAGCCUCAGGGACUGCUGGGGCCUCAAGCGGCUACCGGCUGUAAUCGGGUGCACUGCUCAGGAUGUCAGCUUAUAUGGAGCAUCGGUCUACCAUUAUGUUGCUACUUGCACAGCCAAUAAAUGGUGUGUUUUCUUUUCACCAAGCUACCUUAUCUGUAUCUGGUCGUACGAGUUUGGAGUGGAUAAUCUGGCGGUACUGUCGGUCAUCUUCUAA